AGGAUUCAGUCUGACUCUUCUCAGAGCGAACACAAUCAAUGGAUCUUCAUUCAGUUAUUCUGUUCUGUGUCUCAGCAGCUGCUGUCUUUGGAAAUGUUUAUGAGGAGGGUUUGAAUGUUAUAUUGUCCUGCAGUCAUUCACCUGCAGCUUCAGAUACACUCUACUGGUACCGUCAGUAUGAAAGAUCAAAACCUGAAUUUCUUGUACUCACCUACGGCAGUGCAAAAGAAGUUAAGGUGUCUGAUGUAGAUCCAAGAUUCUCUGUUAAAGUUGAAAAAAGGGAACAAAUCCAUGUCUAUCUGGAGAUCUCCUCUGCUGCUGUAUCAGACUCUGCUCUGUACUACUGUGCUCUGCAGCCCACAGUGACAGGAAACACAUCAGCUCUCUACAAAAACCUGUUAAAGUGAGAGACAAGCG